UCCCCGAUAGCUCAAUCGGUAGAGCGAGCGGCUGUUAACCGCUAGGUUACUGGUUCGAGUCCAGUUCGGGGAGCCA
rnacentral:tRNA from 1 species